rnacentral:tRNA from 1 species
CAAGGCGUAGCUAUAACAAAAGCAUUCAGCUUACACCUGAAAGAUAUCUGCCAUUCACCAGAUCGCCUUGA